rnacentral:lncRNA from 1 species
AUGAUUUCUAUGAAGAGACUUGAAUGAGAUGGUAGGAGCCUGGAGUUCUAAUCUUCAGGACUAUUCCCCGACGGCCUCUGCCAACAGAGUGGAUGGUGGUUGGCCACUUUUAAGAGUCUAACACCACUGUGCACCCACACAAAGACACUAGAGAGUGAGAAAAAGCAUAGUUUUCUCUUUUUGAGUGGGGCUCAGAGGUAACUCAGGCUGGCCUCAGACUUGCCAGGUAGCUAAGGAUGCUCUCCAGUUUCUGACCGCUCAGCCUCGACUUUCCCUAAGUGCUAGGAUUAUAGGAAUGCAACACCGUGCUUGGCUUGAACAGUGCUGAGAACUGGACCCAGAGCUUUGUGCAUGUGAAGGCAAGCACUCUACCAAUCUAGUAUCCCCAGCAUCCUUUCUUAAUAGUUUUUUUUUUUUUUUAAACAAAGAAUUUCUCUUUGAAUAGACAAAGAAUUAAGUUUUUAAUAAGACUGUAGUUUCAAAAUAAGACACUUGCCUGUCUGGUAAAUCACAUAAAAUUAGCAUGUCUAAGUGGCGCUUCCAUUUUUAAGCUGGUUAUAUCAUGAGUUUUUGUUGUUGAAAUGUGCCUUAAAAGCCUAUCACUUCAAGAGCAUGUGAUUCUUUGAGGGAUAGGCAGGAACACUCCUGUGACAUAGGGCCCAUGUUCCUGAUCAUAAAUGCACUCUUUAGUUACAACACUGAUUCCUGCCUCGAGCCUGGUGUGACACUGACCUCUUGAAGAUGUCUGAAUGUGACUAGAAUUGCGAAAUGUCCUCACAUUUGUUUUGUAUUUUAUCUUAGAUUUGGGGGGUUAGCUUACUGCACUGUAGAUCUGUGUCUAUGCUCAAAUGGGACUAUAAACUGAAAGGUCAAACUCCUAACUACGGUGGCUUCAGUAGAACAUGUGUUUGGUUUUAGGAAUUGAGAACUUGAAGAUGUGUAGAGCAGGCAGACUUUUGCUCUCUGAGUCAAGUACAGCUUCUAUGUAAGAGUUGUGCCGAAUUACUUGUCAUAAUGGAGGUUAGUGUGAGUGACCUGUACAGAGUGCUUUUGAAGGAGUAGAAAUAAAAGCUGAUUAAUAGAUACCACGUGUUAUUUUGUGAACAUAAUAUAUUUUGGAUCAUUAAAUAGAAAAUGGCUAAAUAUCACAGCAGUACUAUUAAGUAUGGGUUAUUUGUCAACUGAGUCUGAAACAGAAUUUAUCAAAUCAAUGGAACUGUCAUGAUUGACGUAUGGUAUGCACUCAACAAACACAGGCUGGGUGUAGUUUGUAAUCAAGCACACUGUUUUGCUGUUGCUAGGACUUCAUUUGUAACACAGUCUUCAGGGAUGUUAACUGCCAACUUGAAAGCAUGUUUGUGUGCCGAUGGCUUGACGUACCCCGUACCCAUAGCUUAGUUUUCUGGGAGCAGAAUGGUCUCUUGUUGAAAUUCAAGAUGAUGUUUACUAUAUACAUAUAUAUACAUCACUGUUUUAUUGGUUAUGUUAGGUUCAUUUAAUAAAAAGAAGUUUUAAAAAUAACCUCUUGAAGUGGGGUCUCUUAAUGGCAUUCCAGGCUGAUCUUGGAUUUCUGGGCUCAACAGAUCUUCCUGCCUCAGCCUGUCUUCAGUUGGGCCACAAGCUGGUACAACCACCCUUGACUGUUUAGCCAAAUCUCUCAAUUACGCAGUUCUAGUUUUAUGCAAAUGAAGAUAAAUCAGUAUGUAAACUGAAUUUACCCUCUUUUGAGAUGUGGUCUCAGUAUAUAGCCCUGGCUGGCCUUGGAACUAUAUAGACCAGGCUCUCCUCAAACUCCAGAGGCCUGCUUGCCUCUGCCUUCUGAAUUGUAGAACUAAAGGUGUGUGCCAUCAUGCCUAUUUUUUUCCUUCUUCUUUAAAAGUCCUAUUUUCCUUUGGUGUCAGUAAAGUCUAGGACCUUCCCACAUACAUUGGGCAAGUGCUUCAGCCUCUUUGAGCCCUUAGAACACAACGCAGGUGCUGAUUCUGGACAUAGCCCUUUAAUGAGCCCCCCGCCCCCCCUUAAAGCAGUGCAGUGAAGGGGCUCACCUGGAGAGAUCAGCCCUGAAUGUCUGUUCAUCUAGUGAGAAAGGGACUUGCCUGGGGCACGUGUGUAAGGAACAAUCAGCAACCCACAAAGUACUGCCCGAUUUCAUUGUUCUGGCCCUAAGCAUCACCUAGGACGUUUAAUACGACAGAUUCCCAUCCCUAACUCAUGCUUCCUGAAUCAAAGUCUGGGAAGUCGGCUAGGAAUCUGUAUUUUAAAUGUUCUUGGGAGACCUUGUUUCCCUGGGAGUUGUUACAAAGCUAGGGAAGGGAGAUUGUUUUGCACAAGGAUUGUAAUCACCCAGGGAAGCAUUCUUGAGUCCUCUAUAUAAUAAUAUAUGCAUAUACAUAUAUUCAAGUGUUUAUACAACUUGAUUAUGAGCUUUGAAACAUUAUUAUUAAACUCAAGUUCUACGGAAUCUGAAGCUCUCUCCCGGCCUCCAUAACUCCUGUAUGUUUUGACCUUCCUUCCUCCAUGCAUGCAGAAAUCUCAAAAACAAAACCAGAAAUCUAUAUUACUUAAAGUACCAUUUAAUGUACACUGCCACACAUGUAAAUGAUGAAAUGUCCAUUUGAAUGAUCAAUUUAUAUGUUUAGAUCUUUGCAUUUAUAUAACAAAUUACAUACCUGUCUAAAUAAAUUGUCUCUUCACACG